rnacentral:sRNA from 1 species
GGUGACAUUAUCGCAGGUAAAGAGCUGACUAACAUGGCAGUUGAUGAUUUCAAAUUGUUAUGAGAGCACUUAGCGGCAUACAGUAAAUAACAUUUAUUGUCAUUCAUCACCGCAUCAUAAUCAUAAUACACACAAACACAAAUUGUCACUCAAAGCCGAAAGGGGCAUUAUAAAAAUAUUACUGCCAAAGCGCAGCCUGGGGAAAUUUCAAAAUAAUGGACAAACGUGACCGGCGCAUAACGAGGACGAACAUGAUUUUCACUUAAACGAAAACUUGUUGGCCAGAAAUCCUUUAAAGACCAGGAUAUGCGGACUGCCAGCCAGCCAGUGGAAGGGGUGUUGACUCACGGACAUCUGUCAGAGGCAAGCAAAAGCGAUUUUGCGGUUAGUCUGUGCAUCGUAUUUGCCCAGUGCCAUCAUGAGCAGGAGAGCCGAAGAGCUGCAGCAUCAACAGCCACGUAACUGAGACAGGAGCAGUCCACGUAAUUGAAUCACCCUCGAGAACAUAUUAAAACCAUCCUGAGCAGCUCGCCAGCAUUCCCCACGAGUCCCCGGCUCUCUUUUCUGUAUUUCUGGAUGUCGGACUGCGGUUUGGCCUUCAGACAAAAAUGACCGAUACCAGGGACCAGACCAGGAUUUACCGUCCGUCUACCUCUGGUCGGAUUGUUGGUAUUUUGUUGUUCAACUGAGUUGUGCAACUGAUUGCCGGUUGGCUUUGCUGUACGUGCGUUUCAUAAGUUCAUUUGCUUACUUUUGGGGUGUAGAAAUAUAAAUUGUAAGUCGGUUAUAACUUAAACAGCAUACUUCUGUGUUGGAAUGUUUAAAUCGUUGGAACACGCUUAUCAAAGCAUUCCAUGAAUUGAUAUAAUUAGUCAUAAUGUUCCCUUUCCGAUAUUUAUAAACAAAUGAAGUUGAAUUCGAUUUUGCGUAAAGUGUAUAAAUGCGUCGUGUGAUAAGCUUAAUUCCCUUGGGACCCCAGCUGCCCCAACUUCCUCGCUUCCUUGCUUUCUGUUUUUUCCUGUGAUCCAACAUGAAGUUGCUGCUGUGAGCUGCUGUUGAACCGAACAGGUUCAGAACGGCCACCUGAACAAAGCAUACGACGAGAAUAAAGGCAAAAUCACGACUGAUAAAUGAAAUAAAUAUAUAUGUAUAUAUAUAUAAAUAUCCGUGUGUGCACCGAUACACUGAAGCACACGCAUGUAAUGUUUAAAUUUAGAUAUGUAUAUCUGCAAAUUCCCCGAACGUCGCGAGCACUUGGCCCGCUUAUCAUUUCGUCUGUGUCGUAAGUCGGUGAUGCCUGCUGCCUGCCAAGUAACCAACUACUCCUCCGCUACUCCUGGCCUGGACAUGUGUUGGCCAAAAGAGCAGGGCCAGAAGUGAAGGAGGAAUCGCCGAGCAGGAGCCGGAAUGCAGCGCCAGAACUGCAGCUCCUCCUUUGGACAACUUUUCGUUCUGUGUCAUUCUAGAAUCUAGAUGCAGAAAUUUGAUGCCAGCUGCAACUUGUUAGGCUCCUGCCUCGACUCAGUCUUCUCCCUCGCUUUCCCGAUUUUGUUUACGCCUUUGAAUGGCUUUAACUUACUGGUUUUGGGUUUCAGGAGCUCCUGCAGCUCCUGCACUGCUGCACUCGCUGCAGUCUGUUAAUUGCAGCCAAGUUUCCCACAUUAAGCUUGGGAAACAAUGAAGAAUUGAAGUCCGAUGAAGGGGAAUAGGGGAUUUCGCAAAUCAUGAUUUGCUUUCGUCCCAAUGCUUUUUGUUUGCCUUGGUUUUGUUGUUCAUUAAGGUAAAGGGUAAUGCCGACUUGAACUUUUUCCUUGGAUCGGUGUGAACUUUCGAAGGCGAAAGCCAAGUCCAAAGACCUUUUAAGUUGUGCAAGCAAAAUGUCUGACCUCUGCCACAAUUGGUUGAAUAAUUGAUUUGAGUUUAAGACAAGUGAAGUGAAUGUAAGAAAGUGUUGGAAUAUGUGAAAUUUUUAUUGGUAACUGAAGCGGCUGCUGUGUUGCACAAUACCUUUUUUCGGUAUCUACGCCAAAAACAUUUAUUUUCAUUUAUUUCCAAUAUGUGUCCCAAUAUAAUUUUCAGGAUUUUUUGUUUUGUGUAGUUCUCUCCCGUUUUAUUUUUCUUCUGCCUUUCAUUACUGGCAGCUACUUUAAAAUUUGAAUUUAAUCUAAAAGACUGCAUUAAAAGGGUAAAGAAAAUAAGAGAUUUAAUCUGGGGGCAGAACCUGCCAUAUCACCUUAUGCCUUUGCACUUGAGACCCCACCUGAAGAGCUCAUCUUCCAUUAUUUAUUAUCUGGCCAAGAGGUCUCCGCAUUUUCCUAUUUCUAACCAGACACGAGUUUCAACUUAGUUUGGCCCAAACCCACACACAGAGGCUGCGAUAAGACUAGCUAAUCGCAUUGGAAAUCAAUCUAGAACCCAAAUCGAUAACUAGACCAUGCUGGCAAACACAUUUGAAUGUGAUGCCCGAGCUGUAAAUGUGCAAUAAUUUAUUUAAAUUCCCAAAUGUGUGCUCUCGCAGACAUUGUCAUUAAUAUUUACUCGAUUUGAUU